GAUGAACGCUGGCGGCGUGCCUAAUACAUGCAAGUCGAGCGAACAGACGAGGAGCUUGCUCCUCUGACGUUAGCGGCGGACGGGUGAGUAACACGUGGAUAACCUACCUAUAAGACUGGGAUAACUUGGGAAAACCGGCUCUAAUACGGGAUAAUAUAUUGCACCGCAUGGUGCAAUAGUGAAAGACGGCUUUGCUGUAACUUAUAGAUGGAUCCGCGCCGCAUUAGCUAGUUGGUAAGGUAACGGCUUACCAAGGCAACGAUGCGUAGCCGACCUGAGAGGGUGAUCGGCCACCCGGGAACUGAGACACGGUCCAGACUCCUGCGGGAGGCAGCAGUCGGGAAUCUUCCGCAAUGGGCGAAAGCUUGACGGAGCAACGCCGCGUGAGUGAUGAAGGUCUUCGGAUCGUAAAACUCUGUUAUUAGGGAAGAACAAAUGUGUAAGUAACUAUGCACGUCUUGACGGUACCUAAUCAGAAAGCCCCGGCUAACUACGUG
rnacentral:rRNA from 1 species